UACGUAGGGCGCAAGCGUUGUCCGGAAUUAUUGGGCGUAAAGAGCUCGUAGGCGGCCUGUCGCGUCUGCUGUGAAAUCCCGGGGCUCAACCCCGGGCGUGCAGUGGAUACGGGCUGGCUGGAGGCAGGCAGGGGAGAACGGAAUUCCUGGUGUAGCGGUGAAAUGCGCAGAUAUCAGGAGGAACACCGGUGGCGAAGGCGGUUCUCUGGGCCUGUUCUGACGCUGAGGAGCGAAAGCGUGGGGGAGCGAACAGG
rnacentral:rRNA from 1 species